GUUCCAUGUUAAGUAAAGAAAUUUUGUACGCUAAUCCGCACAUUGUAAAAGCGAGUAAAAUAAUGAGUGCAGUUCCCAGAAUGGCAGUAGAUAAAAGAGAUGACUAUGUUUGCAAUAAUAGCUGAAAGUGCGUAGAGGACUUGAAGCAUUCGAGAAUCGACGACAGUUUUGCAGUUUGGAGCAUCUGUUGCUAGACGGGUUAUCAAUUUUCCUGGAGCAUGAGCAGGGUUGU
ensembl:ncRNA F22E10.8 ncRNA